UACUCACCUCUGUUAUUGUAGCUCAAAGGCAGUCAUAGACAGUACAUACAUGAAUAAGCAUGGCUGUGUUCCAAGAAUUUUAUUGCAGAAACAGGGC